rnacentral:lncRNA from 1 species
CCAGGAACUAGUCUCAGGGUCCAUUAGUGCCUGAAAGCUGAUUAUUUCUCUUUCCCAUUGCGUAGGCACUCUGGUAGAUGGCCCUGGGCCCUGUUGGGGAAGCCUGGGAGGAAGAUUUACAGCACAAAUUUUUGGUGAUGUAAUAGGAUCCUUCCUCAUAAUAGGGGAUCCAUCCUCAUGUAACAGGGGACCUGGCUGCUUCUUCAUUCCAGUGUUCCUGGGCCUAGGAACUGGCUCAAGAGAAUCUGGCUCUGAGGAUUAGUUGAGGGGCUGGAACUCUCCAUCCUGGGACCACCGUGAUCAACCAGCCAACAUCAAAGAUCUCUGCAGGUCAAACCAUUCUGAUUACUGCUUCAGCCCUGUUGCCCGCAAGAUUCCUGGCUAUAUACAUUGGGAAAAAAAUCAUACAAUUCUUUUGGCAUGCGUGAUGUCUUCUUACAGAUGCUUGAUCACAGAUGUCUGCAGGAGAAGCUAGUACUUUGGCUGCAGGGCCACACGCACACCUGGUCCAGGAUUUGAGGAAGCUGAAGUGAGAGAUCUCAUGGGAGUUGGAGGAGCUGAGGACCCUGCUAUUGUCCACACCAGCAAGGGGCGUUAGCAGAUUUGUAAAACAUGUGUGAGCUAAAACAGCCUGAAUUUCAUCCUUCAGGGUGUAGUGUGACAACUUCUACCUUUCCAGUCUCCUGCAAAUUUCACC